AGUGAACGCUGGCGGUAGGCCUAACACAUGCAAGUCGAACGGCAGCACAGUAAGAGCUUGCUCUUACGGGUGGCGAGUGGCGGACGGGUGAGGAAUACAUCGGAAUCUACUUUUUCGUGGGGGAUAACGUAGGGAAACUUACGCUAAUACCGCAUACGACCUACGGGUGAAAGCAGGGGAUCUUCGGACCUUGCGCGAUUGAAUGAGCCGAUGUCGGAUUAGCUAGUUGGCGGGGUAAAGGCCCACCAAGGCGACGAUCCGUAGCUGGUCUGAGAGGAUGAUCAGCCACACUGGAACUGAGACACGGUCCAGACUCCUACGGGAGGCAGCAGUGGGGAAUAUUGGACAAUGGGCGCAAGCCUGAUCCAGCCAUACCGCGUGGGUGAAGAAGGCCUUCGGGUUGUAAAGCCCUUUUGUUGGGAAAGAAAAGCAGCAGGUUAAUACCCCGCUGUUCUGAAGGUACAAAAAGAAUAAGCACCGGCUAACUUAGUG
rnacentral:rRNA from 1 species